UCUUGUACUCACCGCCCGUCAACUCAGGAAGUUGGAGUGCCCGAUAUCUUGUCUUGUACAGGACUACGGCAAAUUCGAAUGACAGGGAGU
rnacentral:rRNA from 1 species